AGAGUUCGAUCAUGGCUCAGGAUGAACGCUAGCUACAGGCUUAACACAUGCAAGUCGAGGGGAAACGACAUCGAAAGCUUGCUUUUGAUGGGCGUCGACCGGCGCACGGGUGAGUAACGCGUAUCCAACCUGCCCACCACUUGGGGAUAACCUUGCGAAAGUAAGACUAAUACCCAAUGACGUCUCUAGAAGACAUCUGAAAGAGAUUAAAGAUUUAUCGGUGAUGGAUGGGGAUGCGUCUGAUUAGCUUGUUGGCGGGGUAACGCCACAAGGCGACGAUCAGUAGGGGUUCUGAGAGGAAGGCCCCCCCANAUUGGAACUGAGACACGGUCCAAACUCCUACGGGAGGCA
rnacentral:rRNA from 1 species